GAUGAGUACAAUCCUAAUAAAGCAAGUGAAGGUGAUGAAAGCAGCAGCAAUGACUCUACAGUGGACAUUAGCAGCAGUGAGGAAGAUGAUGAUGAUCCGCCUCAUCCACCUCCAACCACCAGUGCUGCACCUGCAAGACCUUCAAGAGCUACAUCAAGGGCAGAUCGAGCCUAAAGCAAUAUAUCCAAAAAAAAGCCAUACAAAUUGGGAUACAAGAUUUUUGUACUGUGCGACAUAAGAGGUCUGGUGCACUCAUUUGACAUAUUCACAGGGAAAAUAGAUCCGGUACCAGGCCAACCAGACAUAGGAGCCAGUGGUAACAUUGUGCUCAAGCUUGCACAAGUCAUUCAUCCUGCUGUUCUUUGAUAACUGGUUCUCAUCUGUAGAUCUGUUUGUUGCUCUUGCAAAAAAGGGCAUACCUGCACUUGGGACCGUGCAGCACAAUCGCCUGCGUGGGUGCUGUUUCAGUGCAGACUCAUAGAUGAAGAAGAAGCGAAGAGGGACAUUUGAAGAGCAAGAGGCUCUUGUGGACAAUGUCUGCAUAAGAGCAGUCAAAUGGUUUGACAAUAGAGGGGUGAUUGUUGCCAGCACAUUUGCCAGUGCCCUGUCUGUUAUGAUAAAAAUCAUCUUUUAUUUAUUUAUCUACAUCAUAUGUCUUCUAGUCUGAUUAAAAAUGUGAUGUACAUCUGUGUUUAAACAAAAACAAUAAUUGUUUUUCAGAAUUUCACAAGCAGUGAAAAAAGAUGUUGCGAUAAAAGUGUGUUCAGACCUGA